CACAGUUGUGUGAAAGUCUGUCCUCUUUCAUAACUCCUCUAUCCUUUGGUGUCGUGGUCUUCUUCUCACUUCCGGCCCUAGCUGGUACACCAUGAAAAGGAUCCAAUCAGCAGCGAUGGCCACUGAAGGGCUCUAGGCGGGAGAGGAGCUCGCUCAGCACUUUCCCCCAGCCUGUCUGCAAGCGUGGAGAAAGGCUUCUUCGCAGGGGCCAGUCAGGUCAAGAGCAGAUGAGAGGAGAUUUAUAGGCAAGAAGGCUGAUGCCAAGCAUAGCCAGGCUUCCGUUUUAUUUUUGGCCCAGGAGUUAGAUUAAUUCUCUAGCCUAAUAACAAUUGGGAGAGGCAGCACAGCGGAGACCUGGCCAACAGUAUGAGUGCUGACGUGAUGUUUACAACUUCUGCCCGGCAAGCCUCCAUGUUUUCUCAUCUGCUAGAUUGAGGCAGUGCAUGUAGCGGGGGACUCCAAAGCCUCCCUAAGAAAUGGCACCAGAUAGAACGGCCAAGGUCUCUGAGCAACUGUUUGCCGUAGGAGUCUAGUCACCCACUCUCCUUGAACUCUGCUGGUUGGAGAAAUAAAUUGUUACUCUGUCAAAUCAUGUAGACUUUGGGCUUUAAGCAGUAACAUAUUAUCUAAUGCGGAUAACAUAGAAUGUGAACCACGGGUAGUGGGAACCAGGAGAGAGAGAGAGAGAGAGAGAGAGAGAGAGAGAGAGAGAGAGAGAGAGAGAGAGAGAGAGAGAGAGAGAGAGAGAGAGAGAGGUUUGAAAGAAGAAUCCGGGAAGGAUGAAUUAAUGAACUAAGAAUGAGACGAAUUUUUGGUUUGAUAACGGUGAAGACUAGCACCAUUUCCGAGGAUAACGGAUGUUGAUAGGAAAGCAGAGUUUUGCAAGAGAAGGAAGAAUUCAGUCUUGAUGAAAAUCUGUAAGAUGAACAUCUCUUACCAACGUCUAUUUUCUCAUGAAGUCUACCCAUCACGGUUCCCAAGACUGACUCUCUCCCCACCUUCCAAAGACAGCUCAAAUUCCAGAAGAAGCAGGGAAAUCAGAGGAAAGAAGGAAAGAACUUUAUCCUGCUGAACAUGGAUUCACAACUACUCGAAUAAAAGAAAGGACACCAGAGCUGACAACAGCGGACGCUAAAGCUGCAACAGUGUGAUUUAUCAUGGGGCCUAGUUAUCAGAAGAGACAAAGCCAGCAUCGAUGGAGAGCGGUCACAGAAGACCCACCGUUGCCUCAGAGGCAGCAGGAGGCUGACGUCACAUAAACGGCCACAGAAAAGCAGUUAAAUGAUUUUCUGUGUGUUCUUCAGGGAGGCUGUAUCUAAUCUGAUGCAGUUGCUCCACGGGAGCCCUGCUAAUGACAUCUCCACCAAAUAUCAGCUCAAUAAAUUGCUUCCCUUCAUUAA